rnacentral:rRNA from 1 species
GAAUUCGCCCUUAGAGUUUGAUCCUGGCUCAGGACGAACGCUGGCGGCGUGCCUAACACAUGCAAGUCGAACGGAGUAAAGCCCUUCGGGACUUUGCUUAGUGGCGAACGGGUGAGUAACGCGUGAGGAACCUGCCUUUCAGUGGGGGACAACAGUUGGAAACGACUGCUAAUACCGCAUAAUGUUGUUGAACCGCAUGAUUUAACAACCAAAGAUUUAUUGCUGAAAGAUGGCCUCGCGUCUGAUUAGCUAGUUGGUGGGGUAACGGCCUACCAAGGCGACGAUCAGUAGCCGGUCUGAGAGGAUGAACGGCCACAUUGGGACUGAGAUACGGCCCAGACUCCUACGGGAGGCAGCAGUGGGGAAUAUUGGGCAAUGGGGGAAACCCUGACCCAGCAACGCCGCGUGGAGGAAGAAGGUCUUCGGAUCGUAAACUCCUGUCCUGAAAGACGAGGAGAAGACGGUAUUUCAGGAGGAAGCCCCGGCUAACUACGUGCCAGCAGCCGCGGUAAUACGUAGGGGGCAAGCGUUGUCCGGAAUGAUUGGGCGUAAAGGGCGCGUAGGCGGCCUUGUAAGUCUGAAGUGAAAGUCCUGGCUUCAAGUUGGGAAUUGCUUUGGAUACUGCAGGGCUUGAGUGCAGGAGAGGUAAGUGGAAUUCCCAGUGUAGCGGUGAAAUGCGUAGAGAUUGGGAGGAACACCAGUGGCGAAGGCGACUUACUGGACUGUAACUGACGCUGAGGCGCGAAAGUGUGGGGAGCAAACAGGAUUAGAUACCCUGGUAGUCCACACUGUAAACGAUGAAUGCUAGGUGUAGGGGGUAUCGACCCCUUCUGUGCCGCAGUUAACACAAUAAGCAUUCCGCCUGGGGAGUACGGCCGCAAGGUUGAAACUCAAAGGAAUUGACGGGGGCCCGCACAAGCGGAGGAGCAUGUGGUUUAAUUCGAUGAUACGCGAGGAACCUUACCCAGACUCAAAUGGGGGUCGGCAGGCGCGGAGACGCGCCCUCCCUUCGGGGCGGCCUUCAAGGUGCUGCAUGGUUGUCGUCAGCUCGUGCCGUGAGGUGUCAGGUUAAGUCCUAUAACGAGCGCAACCCCUACGUCCAGUUGCCAGCGGGUCGAGCCGGGGACUCUGGACGGACUGCCGGCGCAAGCCGAGAGGAAGGCGGGGAUGACGUCAAAUCAGCACGGCCCUUACGUCUGGGGCGACACACGUGCUACAAUGGCGCGCACAGAGGGGAGCCACGCGGCGACGCGGAGCGGAUCCCGAAAGCGCGUCUCAGUCCGGAUCGGAGUCUGCAACCCGACUCCGUGAAGCUGGAAUCGCUAGUAAUCGCGCAUCAGCCAUGGCGCGGUGAAUACGUUCCCGGGCCUUGUACACAAGGCCCGUCA